GACGAACGCUGGCGGCGUGCUUAACACAUGCAAGUCGAACGGAAAGGCCCUGCUUUUGUGGGGUGCUCGAGUGGCGAACGGGUGAGUAACACGUGAGUAACCUGCCCUUGACUUUGGGAUAACUUCAGGAAACUGGGGGUAAUACCGGAUAGGAGCUCCUGCUGCAUGGUGGGGGUUGGAAAGUUUCGGCGGUUGGGGAUGGACUCGCGGCUUAUCAGCUUGUUGGUGGGGUAGUGGCUUACCAAGGCUUUGACGGGUAGCCGGCCUGGGAGGGUGACCGGCCCCAUUGGGACUGAGAUACGGCCCAGACUCCUACGGGAGGCAGCAGUGGGGAAUAUUGCACAAUGGGCGGAAGCCUGAUGCAGCAACGCCGCGUGCGGGAUGACGGCCUUCGGGUUGUAAACCGCUUUCGCCUGUGACGAAGCGUGAGUGACGGUAAUGGGUAAAGAAGCACCGGCUAACUACGUG
rnacentral:rRNA from 1 species